rnacentral:rRNA from 1 species
UACAGAGGGGGCAAGCGUUGUUCGGAAUUACUGGGCGUAAAGGGCGCGUAGGCGGCCUGUUAAGUCGAACGUGAAAUCCCCGGGCUCAACCCGGGAACUGCGUCCGAUACUGGCAGGCUUGAAUCCGGGAGAGGGAUGCGGAAUUCCAGGUGUAGCGGUGAAAUGCGUAGAUAUCGGGAGGAACACCAGUGGCGAAGGCGGCUGCCUGGAGCUUUGCUGACGCUGAUGCGCGAAAGCGUGGGGAGCGAUCCGG